rnacentral:rRNA from 1 species
UGUGGGACGUGUCCUAUUUUGUAUGUACCUUAUGAAUAAGGAUCGGCUAACUCCGUGCCAGCAGCCGCGGUAAUACGGAGGAUCCGAGCGUUAUCCGGAUUUAUUGGGUUUAAAGGGUGCGUAGGCGGCCUUUUAAGUCAGCGGUGAAAGUCUGUGGCUCAACCAUAGAAUUGCCGUUGAAACUGGGGGGCUUGAGUAUGUUUGAGGCAGGCGGAAUGCGUGGUGUAGCGGUGAAAUGCUUAGAUAUCACGCAGAACCCCGAUUGCGAAGGCAGCCUGCCAAGCCAUGACUGACGCUGAUGCACGAAAGCGUGGGGAUCAAACAGGAUUAGAUACCCUGGUAGUCCACGCAGUAAACGAUGAUCACUAGCUGUUUGCGAUACAGUGUAA